CAUCAAUCUCUAGAAGAACCAAACCUCAGCACCAACCUGUUCAUCAUGAUGAUCAGAAUCCUCUGCCUGAGCGUCCUUGUGCUGCUUUUCUGCACAGACAUUGAAGCUAAAAAAGAAAAGACCGAAAAGACCGAAAAGUUCAAAAAGUUCAAGUGUUUCACUUGUACAGAGAAAAACUGCAAAAAACAACAGUAUUGUAGUGAAGGACAGGUCUGCAUGAGCGCCUCUGUUAUCGGUACUGUUUGCUUCUCUUCAUUUCCUUUGAUAGACAAACAGUGACCGGCUUGGCUUUGCAUGCUAAUCCACUUUAUACCUUACAGAAGUCACACAUGGACAUCAGAAUAAAUCCUACUACAGGUCCUGUACGUCACCUUCAUACUGUCCAAAGAGUGAAAAAGCAGAGACCUUGUCCAUCGGCUUGGGUUAUCAGGUGUUUGUGGCGACCGUUAAGUGCUGCAAGUCCCAUCUCUGCAACAAAAAACCUCAACCCCGUAAGACCUUUGAAACACAAUCAAACUAAUGCUGCUCCAUACUCUGUGGGUAGUUUACACUGGUGUGUUAUGCUGUUCUUUUCAGACCCUAAGAUACCAUCAGGAAAUGGGUUGACGUGCCUUUUCUGCAGCAACACUAAUAACCCAAAGGAAUGCAAAGUCAAGGAAUGCAUUGGAAAUCAAACUCACUGCGUGCAAGUAAUCAGAAAUGGAACUCAUCAGAGUGGGUGUGCAACUAAAAACUUCUGUCACCCCGACAAGAUACUUGGACGCUACAAGCCUGUUAAUGGCUUCGCUGGUGCCCUCAGUUUUCCAGCUGAGUGUGAGAAAGCAAAACCUGCACCUGAGCCAACAACUGCUGAACCAACAACUGCUGAACCAACAACUGCUGAACCAACAACUGCUGAACCAACAACUGCUGAACCAACAACUGCUGAACCAACAACUGCUGAACCAACAACUGCUGAACCAACAACUGCUGAACCAACAAUUGCUGAACCAACAACUGCUGAACCAACAACUGCUGAACCAAAGUGUGUUCCAGUUGAAACCACUCCUGAACCAACCCUUCCACCCUGUGAUAGAAAGGGAUAACUACUCCCACCACGUAAAACCAGUUUCUUUGUCUUGCUGACAAAAUCAUUAAAAGGUUGAUUAAAGUCUGGGUGAAUCUUUAGUGGAUCCUACAUCAAACAUAGAGAUCUUAACAAACUUAUCAGACCACCACCCACUGUGAGCUUAAAUCACAGCAUUGGUAAAUAUCUUUGUUUCUGUCAUUUGGCUAAUCUCCUAAACAAAAAAAAAUGGUUGGUGGUUGAAUACAUUUGUUAACCAACUCAUGUGAUGUUUUGCUUUUAGUGAUGUUAUUAGAUGAUGAAUUAAUGAAGAUCAAAGCUUCUUUCAAAGGAGCUUUGAUGACUUCUAACUUCUAAAUGUGACUCUUUUAGUAAAGGUAACAGGGCUGAGUUUCUAAUGCUUUCUUAAAAUGCUUUCUGCAUGGGAACAAUCAUUAAAGAGGU
rnacentral:lncRNA from 1 species